rnacentral:tRNA from 1 species
AUUUAGGUAGCUUAAUUAAAGCGUAAUCCUCUUAAGUUUAUGAUGAUUCUAGAAAGAAGAAUCCCUGAGUA